UGGCCGCGGGGCCAGGGCAAGGGGUGCAGGAGGUGAUGCGCCCGAGGUUCAGGAGUCGCGGCGCGGCAAAGUGGUGCGAGUCGGGACUUUAAACCCAGGACAUAGAACCUCACUUAUAUAUGAGAGUCUUCUGGAAGAGAAAAGAGUGACAGAGUUUUUGUUGAGUACCAAGACUUGAAUAUGAAGUAAUUUGUGCACAUGGCAUUGGUAAGGCGUUCUUUCAGGUGCAACAAGCUCUUGGCAUCAGAUUCCUGGUCACUCAUACUUAUUCUCUUUUCUGUACAAUAUGCAUAUGGGG